rnacentral:rRNA from 1 species
GAAUUCGCCCUUAGAGUUUGCUUCUGGCUCAGGACGAACGCUGGCGGCGCGCCUAACACAUGCAAGUCGAACGGAGCUUAGAGAGCUUGCUUUUUAAGCUUAGUGGCGAACGGGUGAGUAACGCGUGAGUAACCUGCCCUAGAGUGGGGGACAACAGUUGGAAACGACUGCUAAUACCGCAUAAGCCCACGGUACCGCAUGGUACUGAGGGAAAAGGAUUUAUUCGCUUUAGGAUGGACUCGCGUCCAAUUAGCUAGUUGGUGAGGUAACGGCCCACCAAGGCGACGAUUGGUAGCCGGACUGAGAGGUUGAACGGCCACAUUGGGACUGAGACACGGCCCAGACUCCUACGGGAGGCAGCAGUGGGGGAUAUUGCACAAUGGGGGAAACCCUGAUGCAGCGACGCCGCGUGGAGGAAGAAGGUUUUCGGAUUGUAAACUCCUGUCGUUAGGGACGAUAAUGACGGUACCUAACAAGAAAGCACCGGCUAACUACGUGCCAGCAGCCGCGGUAAAACGUAGGGUGCAAGCGUUGUCCGGAAUUACUGGGUGUAAAGGGAGCGCAGGCGGGAAGACAAGUUGGAAGUGAAAACCAUGGGCUCAACCCAUGAAUUGCUUUCAAAACUGUUUUUCUUGAGUAGUGCAGAGGUAGAUGGAAUUCCCGGUGUAGCGGUGGAAUGCGUAGAUAUCGGGAGGAACACCAGUGGCGAAGGCGGUCUACUGGGCACCAACUGACGCUGAGGCUCGAAAGCAUGGGUAGCAAACAGGAUUAGAUACCCUGGUAGUCCAUGCCGUAAACGAUGAUUACUA